AACGAACGCUGGCGGCAUGCCUAGCACAUGCAAGUCGAACGAGACCUUCGGGUCUAGUGGCGCACGGGUGCGUAACGCGUGGGAACCUGCCCUUAGGUUCGGAAUAACUCCCCGAAAGGGGUGCUAAUACCGGAGAAUGUCUUCGGACCAAAGAUUUAUCGCCUUUGGAUGGGCCCGCGUUGGAUUAGCUAGUUGGUAGUGUAAAAGCCUACCAAGGCGACGAUCCAUAGCUGGUCUGAGAGGAUGAUCAGCCACACUGGGACUGAGACACGGCCCAGACUCCUACGGAAGGCAGCAGUGGGGAAUAUUGGACAAUGGGCGAAAGCCUGAUCCAGCAAUGCCGCGUGAGUGAUGAAGGCCUUAGGGUUGUAAAGCUCUUUUACCCGGGAUGAUAAUGACAGUACCGGGAGAAUAAGCUCCGGCUAACUCCGUG
rnacentral:rRNA from 1 species